UGUCUUUAUUACCCUCUCAGCUCUGCUUCCCAUGCCCUGAAUAAACUCUAUUCUAAACUAUAUAGUCCGUGUGACUGGUCCCUCAGGGAGAAGGGAUGCCUCAGCAUGGGCUCUCAGAGACACCCCUUUCCCCUGCACAUCCACCAAGUAUAUUCUCUCUCCCUAUAUUUUUAUAAAACAACAGUAACUAACAUCUGUUGCCAGCCAAGCACAUACUAUCCAGCAGACACACAAAUGGCUCUUCUCUGAUCCCCUGUGCUUGGUUGACAUCUCUGCUACUCCUACUAAGACAGCUAAGGUGACAUAGGGGCACUGUCUAGAAAGGAUGGGACUGGUCUUGUUAAACCAGGGCCUGGUGCUGAAUCUGGGCUCUGGAACCCUUCCCACCCCUGUACCAAUAUGGCUUCCUUCCCCAAGGUGAGUCAUAUCCCACUCCCCAGCCCCUGAACACAAACCUCAACUGAGGAACUCCUGUACCUGACGGGACUCCAGCAGCCCUUGUCUGUAUCCCCUGGGAGUUGACGGGCAUUUCCUGUACCUCAGCAGGCUUCGAUGUACUUGGAAAGUCCCUACUAGUGUGGCCACCCAUGACUGGUGACCAUCAUUACUCAGCAUUCACACCAAGCUGGGUUGUUCCUGUCAGAGACUCUAUGAAUGGGCCCUCAGCUUGCCAGAGCCAGUGUUGCCUCCUCCCUGGCCUCUUCCCCACAUACUACUAUGGUUCUCCCAGUGACCGUGGUGAAUAUCCAGGGAAGAAGAGCCAGUCUGUAAAGACUGGAAGAUAGAGAGCUGAGGCUGAACCCUGAUAAUGGUGGAGUGGUUUGCUGGAAAGUGUAAAUGAGGGAUGAAGAGGUCAAGGGCCUGCUAGGCUGAGUGGUUGGCAUGGGGCAGGUGGAGGAGCUAGGGCAAGAAAUGGAGGGUUCUGGUUACAGAUGUGUCUGUCUCUGUCAGGGGUUCAGAGGGCAGCAUUACAGAGGCCCAUGCGAGCUAUCAGGGUAGAGCUGGCUUUCAAGGACAAGAGACUGGGACCACCCAGGGCUAGGACCCACCAAUACAAAGCAAGAGGUCAGAUGAGGAAGAAGCAGCUACAGAAAGAGAAGGACCAGCCACAGAAGGGGUAGACAGUCUAUCAAUGAGGCACCCCAGAGCCGGAUGAGAAAAGCUUCAAAUGCAGGACAGUGAGCGACUAUUGGUGGACCCCACCCCCACCCCGGGGAGAUCCCACAGAGGUGGAGACCUUCCAGCUCAUGGGACUCGGGAGUUGGCUCCAUUGGUAAAGUGUUUGACUAGCUUGUACAAGGCCCUGGGUUUGACUCCCAGCACAGCAUAAACUGGGCAUUGAUGGUCCACACCUGAAAUACCAUGGUGCUAGCACUCAGGAGGUGGAAGCAGGAAGCUCAGAUGCUUGGGGUUAUCCUGAACUACAUGGUCAGUUUGAAGGCAUGGGCUACAUGAGGCUUGUCUCAAAAUGUAGAAAGGGGGAAAAAAGUAACUUUGUGUUCAGUUGCUGUAACAACAGGAAGCAGCAUCAAGAUACCAUGUGGUAAACAUCUCCUACCACAAUGGCCUCAGGAACCAGGCCCCUGUUCCCCAUCUCAGCCAAGAUCAUGGUGUGGCUUGCAUCCACUUGCCCUCAACAUGGCUUCCCUAAUUCCAGCCAUGGAGUUGGCAACUCCUGGCAGGGAGAAGGGAGACAAGUGAAUUCGCAAUCCUGGCUUCUUCCCCUUUGCCUCUUACUGGCCACAAAUUGCUACUUCGAGCUGCUAAAGAGGAAGGAAAGGCUGCCUGCAUUAACCCUCCGCAGACAUAAAAUUCUACUGGGAAAGAAUGGGCAACUGAGAGACAUGGUGGGCAGAGCUCAGCUCCCAGCACAGAGGAGACAAGUACACAGGUUUUCUCUCUCUCUCUCUCUCUCUCUCUCUCUCUCUCUCUCUCUCUCUCACACACACACACACACACACACACACCGCACUGCCUGCAGCAGAUCUGAGAGGAGACAGUACAGAGAGGAGACAGUACAGGUAGCUGUGUCUAAUGGUUGAGGAAACUGAGACACCCAGCUACUAGGACGCUUCUUCAUGAUCAUCCACGUGCCCCAGACUGUUUUGACAGACCCAGAAAUCUCGGAGACCUCCCUGGCUUACCUCCCCCAUCUCCUAGACUUGGUGAGUUGCAUUGGUUCCUGGCCAUGAGCCAUUGUCCCAUGGCCUCAAAGGCCCAGCUUCUUGGGCUCUGUUCUGCAAGAAACUCUAAUGGCCCUUUCCUUUUGGCUUGAAACAGGCAGUUUAUGUGCCCUACCCCACCACACAGACCUUGGAGAAGAAAGGGCUUGGCCAGGCCCCAAGUGAGCCAGGUCUGCAGGCUUUUCAGAAGAAACACAUCUGUUUCCUGGGCUUCUCCUGGCCCAACCUGGGUAGUUGGUCUGGAGCCUACACAGUAAGAGGUACAAAAGUCCAGAUUCCUUGGCUCUGGAGUAGAAGAGUCAGAAAUUAGCAGGUACCAGAGGAUAACGAGGGUUGACUGGAUGCCAGGGUAGAGACCAAUGAAAGGCAAAUGGAUGCCAACGCCUGGGGGAGCUGAAAGGAGCCAAUGGCUGCCUGCCGUAUAAUAUGACCUCCCUAAGAGGACCUAAAAUCAAGAAAGGCUGUGGGGGAGGAUUCAGGAGUUGGGGAGGUGAAAUAAAAUUGAAAUACAUUUUAUGCGUGUAUUAGACUUGCAGUAAACAGGAAAUAGAUUUUUUUUAAAUGACCUUCCUAGCUGCCAUCAGAUCCUGCCGGAAAGUCCCUCUGCAGAGCCAGCAGUGACCCAAUCCCCCCACCCCCAGGCUUUACAGAGGUUGCUGGGGCAGUUCCUCAUCAGCCCAUCCAGGGAGAAACAGCUGGAACCCAGUGGAGCCUGGACAAGCAGUGAGGUCCUCAGCCCUGUGCUGGCUAAACAUUUAUGUCAACUUGACUCAAGCUGGAGUCAUCCGGGAAGAGGGAACCUCAACUGAGAAAAUGUCUCCGUUGGCCUGUAGGCAAGUCUGUGGAGGCAUUUUCCUAACCAGAGAUUGGUAUGGGAGGGUCCAGCCCACUGUGGGCGGUGCAUGCCCUAGGCAGGUAGUCCUGGGUUGUAGAAGAGAUCAGGCUGAGGACGGGAGUGAAGGCUCAGUAGUCGAGAGCACUGGCUGCUCUUGCAGAGGAUUAAGGUUCGGUUCCCAACACCCACAUGGUGGCCCACAAUCAUCCGUAACCUCGGUUUCAAGGGAUUCAAACAUCUUUUUCCGGCCUCCACAGGCACUGCACAGAUAUGCGUGCAGGCAGAACACCCAUACACAUAAAACUAUAAUGAUAACAAAACUUAAAAAGAAAGCAGCUGGUGAGUCACGAGGAGCAAGGCAGUGAGCAGCAUCUUUUGUGGCCUCCAUUCAGUUCCUGCCCCCACUGCCCUAUGUGAUGGACUUCUGGAUGUAAGCCGAAAUCACCCUUCCCUCCCCCAACUGGCCAGGAUGUUUAGACAGCAAUAGAAGGCUGCCUAGGGCAGCUAGUGUCACUGGUCCUAGGAAGUGAGUCUGUAGUCAGGCAGGGCUCCUCCCUGGGCCGACUAAGCCAAGUUUCAACUUUCAGGACAACAGCCCAUAGGACCCCGGUUAAAUCAAGCAAAGACUUCCUGUGACUCCUUCCAGAUGGUGACAGACCCUACCUGGCCCCAAAGGGGAACAUGGCCUGGGGGCAGGGGGUGACCCCACCAACUAAGCCCCUCAGGAAGGCAUUCUGGGAGACUGUAGGAAAAAAACAAAUCGCAAAACUCUAACAUAAAGUCGGGUACAAACAUAACUGUCCAGAGAACAGAAUUGUGGCUGAUAGCUCAGUGGGCACUUGACCCUGGGCCUGAUGUCCUGAAUCCAAUCUCCAGGAUCUUUAUGGUUGAAGAGAAGCAACUCCCAGAAGUUGUCCUCUGAUAGCCACGCUCAUGCCAUGUGAUUUCCCCCAACACAGAUAAAGCAUAAAAUGAUAAUAGCAACUUUUGCAAAUGAAAUGGAGACAAAUUGUGUAACUUAAAAACCCAGUGUGUGGUAUCCCGCAUGUGUCCCCACACGUGUGUCUGUGCAUGCACACACACACACACACACACACACACACUACUGAUACCUCAGAUGUUUCAAAAUUUAGGUCUGAGAACUUUACAACCUAACCACAACCAGACCUCCCCACCCCCACCACCCUGCUCAGUGAUGUGUCACAGUUGCUUAGUCGGGAAGUCGCUGUGGAAUCUCGGACAGAGGUUAUGCCUGGAAAGUGUGGAGACUUGCACAGAAAGGAAGUCAAUGGGGACAUGCCCAGGCCCGGGAUUCAGGCCCUUCCCUGUGUGAUCCGGGCCCAUGGGCAGCCGGAGCUCUGAGCUCUGCGGCAGGGCCUAUGGACUGCAGCACAGUGGAGAAAGAGAGGAACAUACAUGGCAGAUAGAGACGAGCCACAGAAUUGGCCCCUUGGGACUCAUCUCUGGUCACACAGAAGCCAGGCAGUAGUGAGGCUUAGGGUCUGACAGGGGAAACUCAGUGUUAGGAAGUCUCAAAGCCCAAUGGCUCCAGAGGGACAGCAGUGUGAGUCUCACUGGGAUUUGUGACAUCCUUCAGAUAGAAGCCACAUCUGCCUGACCACAGCUGGAGGGAGAUUAUGGUGGUCUGAAUGUGGAGGGCCCCAUAGGCUCAUAAAUUUGGUCCCCAGUUGGUGAAGCUGUUUGCAAAGGAUUAGGAGGUGUGGCCUUGUUACAAGAAGUGUGUCAUUGGGGGCUGGGCUUUAAGGUUGCAAAAGCCCAUGCUAGUCCCAGUGUCUGUCUCUCUCUCCCUCUCCCCCUUCCUCCCUUUACUUGCAGAUAAGGAUGUAAGCUUUCAGCCACUGUCCCAGUGCCAUGCCUGCCUGCCACCGUGCUCCCCACCAUGAUGAUCCUGGACUCUAACCCUUUGGAAUUAUCAGUGGACUCUGGGAAGUGAUUUCAUAGCACAGAUGGGCUUUCUCUGACACACUCUCUCGCCACACAAUGUCCACUGAAUACAGAAGCCCAGACAGAAGAUCAUGAAGGGGCCAGCACUGUUGCCCUGAACUUCCCAGCCUCAAGAACACUGAAUACACAUCACAGAGUGUGUCCCUGAGUGUCUUUGAUGACCUCCAGCCUCCACCAACCCUCGAGCUAAGGACAGCCACUGCUGUGUCCUGAAUCGACAGAAGAGACCGCCCACCUUGGCUGUGGGCCACCUACCUGAUGCUCCGACCAACAUAGCUGGUAAGUGUACUGACGGUACAAGCCUCUGUGCCCUGUCCCAUGGUGGCUCAUGGUAUCCAGGGCAGGCUGGCUGCCUUCCUGAGCCCCCUUACCCACUGCUGCACUGUUCCCGGUAAGCAGCCUCUCAUUUUGUUUCUUUGUUUGUUUUCAAGGUCUAUCAAUUUAUAUUUUUUUGUUUGUUUAUUUGUUUUUCGAGACAGGGUUUCUCUGUGUAGCUCUGGCUGUCCUGGAACUCACUUUGUAGACCAGGCUGGCCUCGAACUCAGAAAUUCGCCUGCCUCUGCCUCCCGAGUGCUGGGAUUAAAGGCGUGCAUCAUCACGCCCGGCUUCAAUUUAUAUUUUUAAUUUUUUCACUUUAUAUCCCCACCGAAACCCCUCUCCCUCCUCUCCUCCCAGGCCCACCCUCGCAUGCCCCUCCCCCAUUUUCCACUCCCCUUUUCUAAGGAGGAGAAGCCCCGCCCCCUCCCCCUCCCCCCCCCCCCCCCAUGCAUCCCAACCUGCCCUGGCCCUGACACAUCAAGUCUCAGCAGGACUGAGCACGUCCUCUCCCACUGAGGCCAGGCAAGGCAGCCCAGCUAAGGGAAGGGAAUCCAAAGGCAGGCAACAGAGUCUGAGACGACCCCCACUCCAGUUGUUAGGAGACCCACAUAAAGACCAAAGCUGCGCAUCUACUACAAAUGUGUAGGGAGCCUGGGUCCAGCCCCUACACACUCUGGUUGGUGGUUCAAGUCUCUGUGAGCCCCCAUGGGCCCAGGUUACUUGACUCUGUAGGUCUUCUUGUAGUGUCCUUGACCCUUCCAGCUUCCUCAAUCUCUGCACCCCUCACCCCCACUCUUCCACAAGUCUCCCUGAGCUCAGCCUAAUGUUUAGAUGUGGGUCUCUUUCACCUGUUUAUAUCCACUGCUGGGUGGAGUCUCUCAGAUGACAGUUAUGCUAGGCUCCUGUCUGCAAGCAUAACAGAGUAUCACUAAUAGUGUCAGGGAUUGGUUCUUUUUUCAUAUAUAUAACAUUUUUUAAUUAGGUAUUUUCUUCAUUUACAUUUCAAAUGCUAUCCCAAAAGUCCCCCAUACCCUCCCCCCCAGGGAUUGGUUCUUACCCAUGGGAUGGGUCUCAAGUUGGGCCUGUCAUUGGUUGGCCAUUCCAUCAGUCUCUGCCCCAUCUUUAUCCCUGCACAUCUUUAUCCCUUGUAAGCAGAACAAACUUUGGGUAGAAGGUUUUGUAGGUGGGUUGGUGUCCCCCUCCCUCCACUGAAAGUCCUGCCACUAUAGGAGGUAGGCAUUUCAGUCUCCAUGUCCCCUGCUGCUAGGAGUCUCAGCUAGGGUCACCCCCAUAGACUCUUAGGAGUCCUCCCCCCAUCCUAGGUCUUUAGCACUUUCCAGAGAUGUCCCUCCACUGAUUUCCAUUUUCUCUCCCAGCCCUCUCCUGUCCCUGCUUCCCACACCUGGUCCCUACCUCAGCUCCCCUCCCCACCCCAUCUCCCAUCCAGUUUCCUCCCUCCAUCCACCUCCAAUGCCUAUUUUAUUUUAUUUUAUUUUUUGGUUUUUCAAGACAGGGUUUCUCUGUAUAGCCCUGACUGACCUGGAACUCACUUUGUAGACCAGGCUGGCCUCGAACUCAGAAAUCCGCCUGCCUCUGCCUCCCGAGUGCUGGUAUUGAAGGCAUGUGCCACUACGCCUGGCCCUAUGCCUAUUUUAUAUCUCCUUCUGAGUGAGAUUCAUGAAUCCUCCCGUGAGUCUUUCCUGUUACUUAGCUUCCUUGGGUCUGUGGAGCAUAGCAUGGACAUCCUGUAUUUUAUGGCUACUUAUAAGUGAGAACAUACCAUGAAUGACUUUCUGGGUUUGGGUUACCUCACUCAGGAUUGUGUUUUCUAGUUCCAUCCAUUUGUAUGCAAAUGCCAUGAUGUCUUUGUUUCUAAUAGCUGAGUAGUCUUUCACUGUGUAAAUGUACCACAUUUUCUUUAUCCAUUCUUCAGUUGAGGGACAUCUUGGUUGCUUUCGGUUUCUGGCUAUUAUGAAUAAAGCUGCUAUGAACAUAGUGGAACACAUGUCCUUGUGGGGUGGAGCAUCUUUUGGGUAUGUGCCCAGGAGUGGUAUAGCUGGAUCUUUCACAUGUGUGCUGGUACCAGUGUCUUUCUUGACUGCAUACUGCUUGAGUUUGACCGUGUUUAUUAUUAAAAAGCAGCUGUAGACAUACCAAAGGCAGAAAGAGACGCUUGAUCUGAGCUUAGGUGGGACAAUGUCUAUUCGUGGUGAAGAAAUAUAUUGUUACCUGUGAGUAUGGAUGGCCAAAAAGCCCACAGAAGAGGAUGAGAUGUAGUGCAGCUAAGAGGGGCAGAAACCAUGGUCUGCAAGGGACGCUGGGAAAUGUAGUCUUUCAGCAGGGAACUAACUGACUAGGUCUCUCACUGAAGCUGAAGCUUUUGUAUUCAACUAGACUGUCUAGCCAGCAAUCCUCCUGUCCUCAACUCCCCGGUCCUGGGCUUACAGGGGAGUGUUGCCACUGCCUGCUUUCUGUAGGAGUGCUGGGGACACAAGCUCAGGUCCUUAUGUUGUAUUUUAUUUUAUUUUAGGUGUAGGAGUAUUUUGCCUGCUUGUAUGUCUGUGCACCACAUACAUGCUUGGUGCCCAGAGAGACCGGAAGAGGGAAUUGGAUCCUCUGGAUCAUGUGUGUAAUAACACCAGGCAGAUGCUAGGAACUAAACCUGAGCCCGCUGCAAGAGCAGCAAGUGCUUUUAACCACUGAGCCAUCUCUCUAGCCCCUGAACUCAGGUCUUUUUAGAAAUUUUAUUUGUUUGAUUGUUUUUGAGACAGGGUUUCUCUGUUUAGCCCUGGUUGUCCUGAAACUAACUAUGUAGACCAGGCUAGCCUCGAACUCACAGAGAUCCAUCUGCCUCUGCAUUCCAAUUACUAGAAUCACCUGCUUUGAUCCUACACCAGGUGUAAAUGCUUGUUUAAGGUGUUCUUUCUUUGUUUAACAUGCUCUUUAUUUGUGAAGGCACUGACAUCCCAGCCCUUUCAUUUGUUCUUUCUUUUGCUAUCGCUCUGUUUGUUGAUUCAGAGCCUCAAGUAGCCCUGGGUGGCUCAAACUCGGUGUAGGGAAACAUGGCUAUGAACUCCGGAUCCUGCUGCCUCCAUCUCUCCAGCACUGAAAUUCCUGACGUGCUUCACUCUUGCUGAAGUUUUCAGCCAUCACGCGGCCUCGUCACAGGGCCCUGUUUUUUCUCAGAUGCUCCAAAGGGGAUGGCUUUUCUUGUGGGCACAGAUGCAUUUUCUGCCUUCUUUGGUCACUGGCUCUGAGCUGGCUGAACCCAGCUCCCCAACUGCCACUCCCAAGGAUCCCAAGCAAGCCUCUCACUCUUUUCGGUUUACUGUCGGAUGACAUCUGUUUAUCCCAGGAGAGCUCACACGUAGGAGUGGGCAGAGUCUGUGUGCGCAUGCUCCUGCUGCGUUUGUGGCGGCAGAGAGGAAGAACACACAAGAUCAUUUAUUUACGUGUCUGCGUAUACACAAGUACUUGCUGACGUUAGAGAGCACUGAAUUCCAUAGGGUGGGAGUCACAGUCAAUUGUGAAACAUCUGACACAUGCGUGCUGGGAUCCAAAUGGGAUUCAAACUCAGAACAGCAAAGGCUCCGCUGACCCAUCUCUUCAGCUCUGAAAAGCACCUCUUUUGCACCUUAGCUUGGGAGGAACAGAUAUGCGUAUAAGCAGCACAGCGACCGUGGAACAAGAGGCCACACACGAAGGGCUUCCUUUCUCUUUCUGUUCUCCACAGAGGUAAUAACAUGGUCCUCGCUUGAUUUGGUGGUUUAACAAAUAAAAAGGCCAAGCUAGCCAGUGGUGGUGCAUACAGCUUUAAUCCCAGCACUCAGGAGGAGUCAGGCUGAUCUCCGUGAGCUGGAGGCCAGCCUGGUCUACAGAGUGAGUUCCAGGACAGCCAACGCUUCAGAGAGAAUCUGUCUGGGAAAGCCAAAGGAAAAAAAAAAAAAAAAAGAAAGAAAGAAACAGAAAGGCCAGCAGCCUUGACUAUGUUGUGGUAAAGGACAUAUCCUUUGAACACGCUGAGAGAGUCGACAGCUUUCAUGCUCUGUGUGUGUGCGUGUGUGUGUGUGUGUGUGUGUGUGUGUGUGUGUGCGUGCGCGCGCGCAUGCGAGCACUCUUGUGCAUGUGCUUUAGAUUUCUUUGUCUUAUGAGUGCUCUUACCCACUGAGCCAUCUCACCAGCUUACAUGUGUGCACCAUAUGUGUUCCCAAUGACCACAGACGUUCAGGACCUCUGCUCACUCCAGCCCUGCUCACUCUGGUCCAAAGAUUUAUUUAUUAUUAUAUGUAAGUACACUGUAGCUGUCUUUAGACACAGACACCAUAAGAAGGCGUCAGAUCCCAUUACAGAUGGUUGUGAGCCACCGUGUGGUUGCUGGGAUUUGAACUCAGGACCUUCAGAAAAGCAGUCAGUGCUCUUACCCACUGAGCCAUCUCACCAGCUCCAAUGGCUCAUUUUCUUAAGAGCUGCCCAGAUGUUCAGUGUUCAGUGUGGUGGUUCAUGCCCUUAAUCCCAGCACUUGGAUUGCAGAGGCAGGUAGAUCUCUCUUGAGUUCCAGGCCAGCCAGAGCUGUGGAGAGCUAUCUUAAAAAAAAAAAAAAAAAAGACUUGUCCAGAGGGUUGGCAAAAUGCUAUUUCCAGGUGAGCCUGUGAGGGCGUUUUUGGAAGAGAGAGAGGUUUCCCUUCCCCUCUCCACCAUGGUGAGUGGCUUCACCCAACCUGCCUAGGGUCCAAAUGGAACCACAAGGCAAGCGGAGGGAGGGAACUGGAAGGACAUGCUCUGCUGAUGGUGGAGUUAGCUUUCAACAGGAAAUUCUAGAGUAGAUAAGCAGCAUUCAAAACACAUCAGGGUUUAUUUAGAUGAACUUAUUUUAUAUGCAAAUACGCAGUCCAUGUGAUAGCCACCUGUGGACAGAGUCCAAAUGAUGGCGGGUGUGUGUGUGUGUGGGGGGGGUGUCUCACUCCUCCCACUUUCACUGUGGUGGCACAGGAGACUAAACCGGAGCCCUACAAAUGCUAGGCGAGAACUUUAGCACUGAGCUACUUCCCUAGGCACCUUUGCUCGGUUAUCCCAGUUGGCCUUGAACUCACGCUGUGGAAACUGUAAUCCUCCCGCCUCUGUUCCUAAAUUGCUGGAUGACAAACUUCUACCACUAAGCCCAGCUGACCCUACGUUAUUAUAUUCAAAAUAAGACACUUGUACAUGGAAGCCUGGGUUAAAAAAAAAAAAAGUGCCAUGAAGUUCCUGUGACCUAUGGAUGAGACAGCAUGCAGAACAGUCCUCCCACACGAUGGCUCACUAGAAAGAAUUGCACAAACUACGAUACACGAGCAUCCUUGAAGAUGGGCACCCGUGGCAUGGUGCGUGGCGCACGCACACCUCUAGUCCUUGCACUCUCAUUGUUAUUAAAACACAAGGCGAUGUUUACAGUUAGCUUAAGCAAAUGCAAGAGCCAGCAAGGUGACACACCUGGCAUUGAGUCUUCGCACCCUGGGUCCUGUGAAAAGAGCCAGGAAUCUUGCUCCUGGCCCUUCUGUCUUUCUUACAGAGGCAAUGUAGACCUGCCAGGAAACUCCCUCCAUGUCCUUUCUUUUGAGUACACCUAUUUUAUUUUGUUUUUGUUUUUGUUUUGUUUUGUUUUGCUUUUUCAAGACAGGGUUUCUCUGUGUAGCCUUGGCUGUCCUAGAACAUGAUCUGUAGUUGGACUGGCCUUGAACUCACAGAGAUCUGCCUGCCUCUGCCUACAGAGUGCUGAGGUCAAAAGCGUUCACCACCAUGCCCAGGCUAAGAGUUUGUCUUUAAAAAAGAGAAAAGAGACAGGGAGAAAAAGGGAGGAAGAAGAGGAGGAGAAACAGUCACUGGUCUCUCCCACCACUAGAGGACAGAAGUCUAAGGUCAGGGCACCUCCAAACCCAGAGUCUGCCGACAGCCACUGCCUUUACUCUUCUUGCUAUGCCCUUAAACUACAGAGGGUCAGGCGCUCUUGGGGACAUCUUUGAUGAAGGUUCAAAGCCCAGAAGUGAGGGCUCCAGUCUCACAGCCUUAUUAUCUCCCAAAGGUCUCUCUGCCUAACAGCCUCUGCUCCUCUUCCUCCAAGAAGGCCACACCUCCUCCAGCAAGGCCACACCUACUCCAACAAGGCCACGCCUACUCCAGCAAGGCCACACCUCCUAAUAGUGCCACUCCCUGGGCCAAACAUAUUCAAGCCACCACUUCGGUCUACAGAGUAAGUUCCAGGACAGUCAGGGCUAUACAGUGAAACCCUGCCCGGAAAACCAAACCAAACCAAACCAAAACAUAACUCAGAGCAUGUAGAUCUCUGUGACUGGAGGCCACCCAACAGAGUUACAUACCCCCAGCCUCUGAGAGGCUUUUCUGUGGGUUUUUUUUUUCAUUCUUAGUGUUGCAUAUCUCAUAGUGGGAAUGGACCACAGUGAUGACAGGAUUGAUAACAAGGAGAGUAGUGAGGUACGAUGAGGAUGAGGAUGGUGAUGAUAAUGCAGGUGAUGACAGUGAACUGAUGGUCCUGAUAGAGAUUACGAUGGUGGUGGUUGGUAAUGGUGGCAGUAACAUACAUUUUGGGUAUACUCUGUGACUCUCAGAGCAUCCCUGUUCAGAGAGCAGGCUUAGACUCCUCUCCUUUGCCUCUCACUACUCUGGGGCAGAGGACAAAAGCUCAGAGCCUCAAAGGGAGGCAUAACCUACUUAAGGAGGUGUACUGGCUGGUUUUGUGUGUCAACUUGACACAGCUGGAGUUAUCACAGAGAAGCUUCCUUUGAGGAAAUGCCUCCAUGAGAUCCAGCUGUGGGGCAUUUUCUCAAUUAGUAAUCAAGGGGGAGGGCCCAUAGUGGGUGGUGCCAUCCCUAGGCUGAUAGUCCUGGGUUCUAUAAGAAAGCAAGCUGAGCAAGCCAGGGGAAGCAAGCCAGUAAUAACAUCCCUCCAUGGCCUCUGCAUCGGCUCCUGCUUCCUGACCUGCUUGAGUUCCAGUCCUGACUUCCUAUGGUGAUGAACAGCAACAUGGAAGUGUAAGCUGAAUAAACCUUUUUCUUCCCCAACUUGCUUCUUGGUCAUGAUGUUUUGUGCAGGAAUAGAAACCCUGACUAAGACAAGAGGAGAGAGCCAUAUGGUCCUCCAGGGUGGUGGCGAUGCAGGCCAUCUACAGGUCUGGGUGUGGGGGUGUUGGCAGAGCACACAGAAGCAUAUUGGGAAAACUGGGCUGGCCUCGUUCCCUGCUUGGUUCCCUUAGAAAGAUUCUGUGUCAGACCAGGAAAGCCCAGCCAUGAGUCAUGAAGACAUAAUCAGGAUCAAUCAGCUGGCCUUGCCCAUUCGGAGAGCGAGGGAACCUGCCAGAAUGGAGCCAGAUGCCUAGAUAAUCCAGUUAGAGCUCAGGCUGAACAGACAUGGACAGCCUGACCCCCUCCAUUAAGGAGGUCACAGGCUCCCAGAACCAGAGUCCUUGUGACUGAUGGCACACUGCUCUGGCUCCUGCUAACAGCAUGCUGCCCUGAACCUAAGAGAUGACCAUUCUUCCUAAAUAGCAGAUCAAACAAACAAACAAACCCUGGGGGGUUCUGGAUGGCCUGUAGCUCCAUAGAACAAGAGCUGCUGAGACACUAUGUGGGUAUCCCAACCUUCUUCCUGCCUCCCAGAGGUAGGUGUACCCUACCUCUUACACUGAAUGGUCUUGGCUGUCCCUAACCAAUUCCUUCCCAUGGAUUCCUUUCAGUACCUGGCAUCCCCCUGACUAUAGAUACACUCUGAUUCCUGUGUAUGCCCCUGCCUUUUUUUGAAUAGGAAUG